GAUGAACGCUGGCGGCGUGCCUAACACAUGCAAGUCGAACGGGGUUAAGGAAGCUUGCUUCCUUGACUUAGUGGCGAACGGGUGAGUAACGCGUGAGGAACCUGCCUUUCAGUGGGGGACAACAGUUGGAAACGACUGCUAAUACCGCAUAAUGUAGCGAGACCGCAUGAUCUUGCUACCAAAGCUUUAUGUGCUGAAAGAUGGCCUCGCGUCUGAUUAGCUAGUUGGUGGGGUAACGGCCCACCAAGGCGACGAUCAGUAGCCGGUCUGAGAGGAUGAACGGCCACAUUGGGACUGAGAUACGGCCCAGACUCCUACGGGAGGCAGCAGUGGGGAAUAUUGGGCAAUGGGGGAAACCCUGACCCAGCAACGCCGCGUGAAGGAAGAAGGCCUUCGGGUUGUAAACGUUACUUUACCUAGGGACGAAGGACGUGACGGUACCUGGAGAAAAGACAACGGCUAACUACGUG
rnacentral:rRNA from 1 species